rnacentral:rRNA from 1 species
GGUUUCCUUCGGGAGACUGAGAGCGGCGCACGGGUGCGGAACACGUGUGCAACCUGCCUUUAUCAGGGGGAUAGCCUUUCGAAAGGAAGAUUAAUACCCCAUAAUAUUUUGAGUGGCAUCACUUGAAAUUGAAAACUCCGGUGGAUAAAGAUGGGCACGCGCAAGAUUAGAUAGUUGGUGAGGUAACGGCUCACCAAGUCUACGAUCUUUAGGGGGCCUGAGAGGGUGAUCCCCCACACUGGUACUGAGACACGGACCAGACUCCUACGGGAGGCAGCAGUGAGGAAUAUUGGACAAUGGGUGAGAGCCUGAUCCAGCCAUCCCGCGUGAAGGACGACGGCCCUAUGGGUUGUAAACUUC